CCGCGAUUUCCCGUAAAUCCCGGGCUUGGCCCGUAUAGUCGAAUGUAUACAAAGAAAGUACCCUGUGAGUAAACUCAUCUCCAGAACGAUUUUUUAAAUUAUUUUUUCACCACUAAAGUCCAUGAGACUUGUAGUUUUUAAAAAUGUGUUCAUUUUUGAUGAGACGCUGAAUAAAAGAAGUUUAAUCGCCGGCAAACGAAAACCCGCGACUUCUCGUAAAUCCCGGACCCGGCCCGUAUAGUCAAAAGUAUACAAACAAAGUACCCAGGGAGUAAACUCAUUUCCCGAACGAUUUUUUAAAUUAUUUAUUCACCACUACAACCCAUGAGACUUGUAGUUUUCAAAAAUGUUUUCAUUUUUGAUGAGACGCUUAAUGAAAGAGGUUUAAUUGCCGGCAAACGAAAACCCGCGAUUUCCCGUAAAUCCCGGGCUUGGCCUGUAUAGUCGAAUGUAUACAAAGAAAGUACCCUGUGAGUAAACUCAUCUCCAGAACGAUUUUUUAAAUUAUCUUUUCACCACUAAAACGCUUGAGACUUGUAGUUUUCAAAACUGUUUUCAUUUUUGAUGAGACGCUGAAUAAAAGAAGUUUAAUCGCCGGCAAACGAAAACCCGCGCUUUCCUGUAAAUCCCGGGCUUGGCCCGUAUAGUUAAAUGUAUACGAAGAAAGUACCCUGUGAGUAAACUCAUUUCCAAAACGAUUUUUUAAAUUAUCUUUUCACCACUAAAACGCUUGAGACUUGUAGUUUUCAAAAAUGUUUUCAUUUUUGAUGAGACGCUGAAUAAAAGAAGUUUAAUCGCCGGCAAACGGAAACCCGCCAUUUCCCGUAAACCCCGGACCCGGCCCGCGUAGUCAAAAGUAUACAAAGAAAGUACCCAGGGAGUAAACUCAUUUCCCGAACGAUGUUUUAAAUUAUUUUUUCACCACUAAAACGCAUGAGACUUGUAGUUUUCAAAAAUGUUUUCAUUUUUGAUGAGACGCUUAAUGAAAGAGGUUUAAUCGCCGGCAAACGAAAACCCGCGAUUUCCCGUAAAUCCCGGGCUUGGCCCGUAUAGUCGAAUGUAUACAAAGAAAGUACCCUGUGAGUAAACUCAUCUCCAGAACGAUUUUUUAAAUUAUUUUUUCACCACUAAAGCCCAUGAGACUUGUAGUUUUUAAAAAUGUGUUCAUUUUUGAUGAGACGCUGAAUAAAAGAAGUUUAAUCGCCGGCAAACGAAAACCCGCGACUUCACGUAAAUCCCGGACUCGGCCCGUAUAGUCAAAAGUAUACAAAGAAAGUGCCCAGGGAGUAAACUCAUUUACCGAACGAUUUUUUAAAGUAUUUUUUCACCACUACAACGCAUGAGACUUGUAGUUUUCAAAAAUGAUUUCAUUUUUGAUGAGACGCUGAAUAAAAGAGUUUUAAUCGCCCUCAAACGAAAAUCCGCGAUUUCCCGUAAAUCCCGGACUCGGCCCGUAUAGUCGAAUGUAUACAAAGAAAGUACCCUGUGAGUAAUCUCAUCUCCAGAACGAUUUUUUAAAUUAUUUUUUCAUCACUAAAACGCAUGAGACUUGUAGUUUUCAAAAAUGUCUUCAUUUUUGAUGAGACGCUGAAUAAAAGAAGUUUAAUCGCCGGCAAACGAAAACCCGCGAUUUCCCGUAAAUCCCGGGCUUGGCCCGUAUAGUCGAAUGUAUACAAAGAAAGUACCCUGUGAGUAAACUCAUUUACAAAACGAUUUUUUAAAUUAUAUUUUCACCACUAAAACGCAUGAGACUUGUAGUUUUCAAAAAUGUUUUCAUUUUUGAUGAGACGCUUAAUGAAAGAGGUUUAAUCGCCGGCAAACGAAAACCCGCGAUUUCCCGUAAAUCCCGGGCUUGGCCCGUAUAGUCGAAUGUAUACAAAGAAAGUACCCUGUGAGUAAACUCAUCUCCAGAACGAUUUUUUAAAUUAUUUUUUCACCACUAAAGCCCAUGAGACUUGUAGUUUUUAAAAAUGUGUUCAUUUUUGAUGAGACGCUGAAUAAAAGAAGUUUAAUCGCCGGCAAACGAAAAUCCGCGACUUCCCGUAAAUCCCGGACUCGGCCCGUAUAGUCAAAAGUAUACAAAGAAAGUACCCAGGGAGUAAACUCAUUUACCGAACGAUUUUUUAAAGUAUUUUUUCACCACUACAACGCAUGAGACUUGUAGUUUUCAAAAAUGAUUUCAUUUUUGAUGAGACGCUGAAUAAAAGAAUUUUAAUCGCCCUCAAACUAGGCUGUUUAGUCACGUGAUCAAAAGCCGUAGAAUUUUUUUUGCCGUAGCGAACUCGCAUACCGUAGACAGAUUUUCCCGAGAUUUUAUACGUAUGUGCCUAUCCAAAGCUAUUUUCCGACUAUGUUUUUCCUUAUUAGGCAUUUUUCGAUAGGCACCUCUUUGCACAGAAUAGGCCGAGGUUUGUUUUGAUUGAUGAUAGAAGUUUGUAGCUGUUAACGUUGAAGAGUUACAGGAUUUUGAAUUUUAAGAAUUUGACUUCAAGAUAUCUUGGCCAAACAUCUGAAUGCAGUGGUUGUACAGUUAAACGUGUUUAUAUACUUUGUAAAAAAAAUGGUAUUUCUGGCAUGACUAUAAAAUGCUUAUAUUAUGUCAAUGACUUUAUAUUAAAGUUUUUAUUUGGCUUAAUUUUAUGAUUUUGAUAUUUGUUUCUUUCUGGAUUUUUGCCCAUCUCUCUACAGUAUUUAACAGCCUGGUCUGCAAAACAUCAAUAAUUUUUUAUAGUUUAAUUUACUGUUUUUAUCACAAUUCUGUUAAUUAACCUAUACAAACUUCGCAGAUGGCUUAUAUACCUGGUUUCCUUUUUAGUUCUUACCCCCGUCUUUUUUAAAUUUAACAGUCUGGUCUGUAAAUUACACAUAUUUAUCACAUGAUAUUUUUUGUAGUUUUAAUUACUGUUUUACCAUGGUUCUGUUUUUUUCAAUUUAAUGCAACUUCGCCAACAAUGGCUUAUUUAAAACUGGUUUCUUUUUAGUUUUACCCCCGUCUUUCUCUAUUUAACUGUCUGGUCUGUAAAAUACACACCUUAUCACGUGAUAUUUUUUGUAGUUUUAAUUACUGUUUUAUCACAGCAAUUUAAUGCAACUUCGCCAAUGCCUUAUUUAUAACUGGUUUCUGUUUAGUUUUACCCCCGUCUUUCUCUAUUUAACUGUCUGGUCUGUAAAAUACACAUAUUAUCACAUGAUAUUUUUUGUAAUUUGAAUUAUAUACUGUUUUAUCACAGUUCUUUUUUUUAUUAAUUUAAUGCAACUUCGCCAAUGGCUUAUUUAUUACUGGUUUCUUUUUAGUUUUACCCCCGUCUUUCUCUGUUAACAGUCUGGCCUGUAAAAUACACAUCAUAUCACGUGAUAAUUUUAUAGGUUUUCUUCUUUUAAGUUCUAGUGACGUUUAUAGUUACUUAUUUCUAGUUACGUGAUAGGAUUACUUUUCAUUUUCAUGUUAGUUUUUACCGUUAUUUUACCAAUGUUAUGUAUAUUUUACCAUAUAUGGAAAAAGUAAAAAUGGCGGCAUAAUGACGUCAGAUAUGAAAAAAAAAAUUGCAAAUGUCUUUCUUAGCAUAAAUUUUACCAACCCUAAAAUUUUCAUUCUAUAAUGUUUAGUUAUACCAAAGUUAUUGUACACGUAGCAAAGGUCUCAAAAUGAGUUUAAAAACAGUCGUUUUGGUGCCAAAAAUGUUCUACUUGGAAUGCACUUAUUUUUUCUAAUUUUUGCUACCAAUUACGCAUACUAAAAUAGCCAUAACUUUUGAACUAUUUAUCGUAGAAGGAAGUUUGACCCCUCGUUGAAUGUCAAAUGGCCCAGCCAUUCUGAAAACAAGAACAUUAUAGACUCCUACACAAAGCUUUAAAACUCCCGAAAGUGCCUACUCAAACGAAAAUCCGCGAUUUCCCGUAAAUCCCGGACUCGGCCCGUAUAGUCAAAAGUAUACAAACAAAGUACCCAGGGAGUAAACUCAUUUCCCGAACGAUUUUUUAAAUCAUUUUUUCACCACUACAACCCAUGAGACUUGUAGUUUUCAAAAAUGUCUUCAUUUUUGAUGAGACGCUGAAUAAAAGAAGUUUAAUCGCCGGCAAACGAAAACCCGCCAUUUCCCGUAAACCCCGGACUCAGCCCCUAUAGUCAAAAGUAUACAAAAAAGGAAGUACCCAAGGAGUAAACUCAUUUUCCGAACGAUUUUUAAAUUAUUUUUUCACCACUACAACGCAUGAGACUUGUAGUUUUCAAAAAUGUUUUCAUUUUUGAUGGGACGCUGAAUAAAAGAAGUUUAAUCGCUGCCAAACGAAAACCCGCGAUUUCCCGUAAAUCCCGGACUCGGCCCGUAUAGUCAAAA